rnacentral:rRNA from 1 species
UUUGAUGUUUCCGUCGCCGUGUCGGACGUCGCGACCUGUUCGCCCGUCGGUCCCUGCUCGGAGGAAUCGCGAUCGAGCUCGUUGCGCGGUACGCUUCGGCGUGUCGCGCGGCGAAGACGCGGCUCUCUGGCUGACGGCGGACAGUAAGCAACGGUGUCCGGCGUCGUGUCACGCACUCGACGUCGGUGCCGGUCUGCGACGAUUUCUUCGGGCCUCUUUCCGACCCGUCUUGAAACACGGACCAAGGAGUCUAACAUGCGCGCGAGUCGCGGGGUAUCGAGCGUGCCACCGGUGCGCUCGUUACGUGCGAAACCCGUACUUGAAAGGCGUAAUGAAAGUGAAUGGGGAAGAUGGCGUUCCGAGUCCACGUACCGUGAUCGAGUGUCGCGGCCGGACGUCCGCACUCCCGGGGCGUCUCAAUGGCUCGUCGCGGACGCGGACGAUCGUCUCUCGGGGCGGUCGUCGGUCUGCGUCGGACCGA